rnacentral:rRNA from 1 species
UACGGAAGGCAGCAGUGGGGAAUAUUGCACAAUGGGCGAAAGCCUGAUGCAGCUAUGCCGCGUGUAUGAAGAAGGCCUUAGGGUUGUAAAGUACUUUCAUCGGGGAGGAAAAACAAAACUAAUAAUUUUAUUUCUUGACGUUACCCGAAAAAGAAGCACCGGCUAACUCCGUGCCAGCAGCCGCGGUAAUACGGAGGGUGCUAGCGUUAAUCAAAAUUACUGGGCGUAAAGAGCACGUAGGUGGUUUUUUUAAGUCAGAUGUGAAAUCCCUGGGCUUAACCUGGAACUGCAUUUUGAAACUGAAAUACUAGAGUAUCGUAGAGGGAGGUAGAAUUCUAGGUGUAGCGGUGAAAUGCGUAGAUAUCUGGAGGAAUACCUGUGGCGAAAGCGGCCUCCUAAACGAAUACUGACACUGAGGUGCGAAAGCGUGGGGAGCAAACAGGGAUUAGAUACC